UUUAUUCAAAUAGACUUAGUUUGGAACACAAGCUAGCGGUGACCAAAACCAAGCCCAAGUUUUUCAUCCAAUUGGCAUGGUGAAUUCAUUAACUUAUGGCCUUAUUAUCACUUUUCUUAUUCUUACACUUUACUUCAUAGGAAUAUUGUUCACAAGGGAUUUGUAAGUAUACCCACUUAGCGUUUAAAAGAGAUAUUUCAGUAGGUUAGACUUUGAAUAUAUUUUUUAAAAAAAAUCGAAACUAAAACUUUCUAAAAUAUUCAACGAAUGUACGUUAAUAAAUUCUUAUCCAAAAUAUAUGGGAAGACUUAAUUUGGAAAAAUAAUCAUCAGCAUCAGGAGGACUGGGAGCAAGCACAAUAUGCAGCAGCUUUUGAGUGGGAAGGUUUCAGGAAAUUAAAGCCUUCGUCACUAUACCCUCCAACAACACUCUCGCGCGCCGCCGUAGCUAGCCUCGAACAAGCUUCUCGCGCGCCGCCAUAGCUAGCCUCGAACAAGCCUCUCGCGCGCCGCCGUAGCUAGCCUCGAACAACACCUCUGAAGACCUUCCUCAGUUACUGAGGUCUCCCUUCCUGAGUUCGCAUCAUCACUCAGCUCCCACCGUACGCGGCGGUGCACCCGUAGCCUGUCGUGACUCACCACUCUCUCGCGCGACCAAAUUAGGUUUGUUGCAAGUAGGAGAAAUGAAGUGAUGCAGAGGUAAAUACUGUUGGCUAGUGCUAAUUCCAUGGGAACUGUUUUUCUGCUGAAGAUAAACCUUUACAAUGAAAUAGGGUUAGUGAAACAUGUCCCAGUCGCACGAAGCUCUGAUUCUCAUCCAAAAAAUGGUGAAAGUGCCUCCAACAAAAGCACUCUUGUUGUUCAACACCGCAACCUAUCAAGGCCUUCAGCACACUUCCCACUCUAUCUCCUUCAUCCUAAAUCAUCUCCUUUCCUCUGGCAUGCUACCCCAAGCCCAAUCUCUGAUCCUGCGUCUAAUCUCUGGUCGAAUCCCCUCCUCCUUAAUGCUUCAACUAACACAAGCCCAUUUCACCCCUUGUUUAACCUACACUCCUCUCUAUGACACAAUUGUCAAUGCCUAUGUUCAUUCUCAUUCAACCGACCAAGCCCUCACUUUUCUACACCACAUGAUUCACGAGGGCCAUGUUCCUUUAUCAAACACCUUCAAUAAUCUUAUGUGCUUACUCAUUAGGUCUAAUUAUUUCGAUAAAGCUUGGUGGAUAUUCAAUGAAUUGAAGAGUAAAGUUGUUCUGGAUGCCUACAGUUUUGGGAUUAUGAUCAAGGGUUGUUGUGAAGCUGGUUACUUUGUGAAAGGCUUUCGGCUUUUGGCCAUGUUGGAAGAGUUUGGUUUGUCUCCGAAUGUUGUUAUAUACACUACUUUGAUUGAUGGGUGUUGCAAGUAUGGAAAUGUUAUGCUGGCAAAGAAUUUGUUUUGCAAGAUGGAUAGGUUGGGUUUGGUUCCCAACCCGCAUACUUAUAGUGUGUUAAUGAAUGGGUUUUUCAAGCAAGGACUUCAAAGGGAAGGGUUUCAGAUGUAUGAAAAUAUGAAGCGAAGUGGAAUUGUUCCUAAUGCUUAUGCUUACAAUUGUCUAAUUAGUGAAUAUUGUAACGGUGGGAUGGUGGAUAAAGCUUUUAAGGUGUUCGCUGAAAUGCAUGAGAAAGGUAUUGCAUGUGGGGUUAUGACUUAUAACAUUUAAAUAGGCGGGCUGUGUCGAGGGAAGAAGUUUGGGGAAGCAGUGAAGUUGGUUCAUAAAGUCAACAAAGUUGGCCUUAGUCCUAACAUAGUUACGUACAACAUACUGAUCAAUGGGUUUUGCGAUGUUGGAAAAAUGGACACUGCUGUUAGAUUAUUCAAUCAGUUGAAGUCAAGUGGACUAUCGCCAACGUUAGUGACUUAUAAUACUUUGAUUGCAGGGUAUUCUAAGGUUGAGAAUUUAGCAGGAGCUCUUGACUUGGUCAAGGAAAUGGAAGAGAGAUGCAUUGCUCCUUCCAAAGUGACAUAUACGAUUCUAAUUGAUGCCUUUGCGAGACUAAAUUAUACGGAGAAAGCUUGCGAGAUGCAUUCUUUAAUGGAGAAGUCUGGUUUGGUUCCAGAUGUUUACACAUACAGUGUCCUAAUUCAUGGGUUAUGUGUGCAUGGUAACAUGAAAGAAGCGUCAAAACUCUUCAAAUCAUUGGGUGAGAUGCACCUCCAACCAAACAGUGUCAUAUAUAAUACCAUGAUUCAUGGUUACUGCAAAGAAGGAAGCUCUUAUAGGGCUCUUAGGCUGCUCAAUGAAAUGGUUCACAGUGGAAUGGUUCCAAAUGUGGCCAGUUUUUGUUCAACCAUAGGGCUUCUUUGCCGAGAUGAAAAGUGGAAGGAAGCUGAACUUCUCUUGGGACAGAUGAUAAAUUCAGGACUAAAGCCAUCAGUUUCUUUGUACAAAAUGGUUCACAAAGUCAAGGAGAUAUUGGGUUUUCAUGGUAUGAAACCAAAAGAAAUGCGUUCUUGAAGCCUCUGUUGUUAUUGGGCGGCAUCAGUUGGAGGACAAUCUUUUGGUCAUAGAUAUGGCUUCCUCAAAAUUAAGCUUCAGCUUGUUAGGGGUAAGAAACCCAGUGCUGGCUUCGAGGGCAGCGGCCUCCAGAAUGAAGACAAAGAAGGGAAAACACAAAGGAAUCUAAUAACGGAUUUGAUAUGCAUGACUGCCUAUGAGGGAGCAACCACUACAAGCAGGAUUCUGGACUGAUUUUGCUAAUUCGAUCUUCCCAUUCUGCCCCUUAUACGUAAUCAGCCAGGUAUGCCGUCUUCACUACUCUUCUCUUGGUCCCUUCUCCUCUCUGCACCAUUGAUGCUGGUGGUUCCUGUAUUUUUGGCAUUCUAAGCUUGUUCGUAACACAGCUCCUCGCUUUUGCUCCGCAACGCAACAUGUUCCCAUGUUUGAGUCUUUUAUUAGACCUUGAGAUUACCACCGUUCAAUAAUGCUCCUUCUAUCUAUCUUUCGUCCCGUACAUCUCGUGUACAAUAAAUCAAGCCUCGUGUAGUACUGUGACUUCAAAUUUCAAUGAUACUUAUAAUUUGUACUGUACACCAAUUCAUGUUUAUUCUGCCAUUGUAUUUUCCAGGACUAGUAGAAUAAAUAUAUUGAAUGAAACCGAAUCACUUGUAAUUUUGUAUCCAGACUCAGCUAAAUAAUGCUCUUGGAUAUGAAAAUUAGUUGCAAACCCGACAAGAAGGUAGAUUAAAUUACCUUGUCUGUGAUACACAGGGGGGCAACUGAUGCCCCCAAUAAUGCAUGAAAAUUAUAUUUUUUUUCUUCCUAUAAAGUUGUUUAGAAGUAGAGGUUGAUGCUUUAACUAAAAAAUAAAAAAGAUUGAUGAGCCUAAAAAGACUAUCACAUAAAUAGUUUUAUUAGAUACGUACUGUCCCAUUUGUAUCAUAGACAAGGUAAUUUAAUCUACUUUCUUGUUGGGUUUGCAACUAGUUUUCAUAUUCGAGCAUUAUUUAGUUGAGUCUGGAUGCAAAAUUACAAGUGAUUCGGUUCCGUUCAAUAUGUUUAUUUUACUAGUCCUGGAAAAUACAAUGGCAGAAUAAACAUGAAUUGGUGUACAGUACAAAUUAUAAGUAUUGAAAUUUGAAGUCACAGUACUACAGGAGGCUUGAUUUAUUGUACACGAGAUGUACAGGGGCGAAAGAUAGAUAGAAGGAGCACUAUUGAACAGUGGUAAUCUCAGGGUCUAAUAAAAGACUCAAACAUGGGAACAUGUUGCGUUGCGGAGCAAAAGCGAGGAGCUAAAGCUUAAUUUUGAGGAAGCCAUAUCUAUGACCAAAAGAUUGUCCUCCAACUGAUGCCCCCCAAUAACAACAGAGGCUUCAAGUUGAAUCGAAUGCAUUUCUUUUGGUUUCAUCCCUCCAUCAACAAAUGCAAGACACGCCACAUUUUUACUUGUCAUAACCGUCAUCGAAUUGGCUCCAUAUAUAGUCCACUGUGCUCCCCCGGGUAGCACUAGAUCAAUACUUGGCACAGCUAGGCCGGUGAUAGAAUUCCUAAUGGUGCUUGUAUCGAAGCAUGCAUCAAACGGUGGCACUGGUGCCACUCUCUUCAUUCUUCUUCCUUCAGCCUUGUUGAUGAACUCUUGAACAAAGGGUUUGUAGAGUGAACUAUGUAAUUCAGUCCACGGAGUCAUGGUACUAAUUUUGGUACCCCCAUUUCCCUUCUUGUCAAUGGA